UUUAUACCGAGGGAGAAACUGUUUACUUAUUUUUAUUUAUGGCAUAUUACAUGAGUCAAAAAAGUGAUUGACCAUCGCCACCAGGACAACUUCCCCAAUUCUCGUCUUUCAACAAAUUAAUUUCCAUUAUACAAAUACGGUAAAUUCAAAGAUCGUCGGCGAGAUUUUUCCGGCGAAGUUGCUUCAGCACGUAGCCAGUCCUAGAAGAUGAGGAGGCAGCUGAUGACGUCGUGGCAGCUGUUCUGUACACUUAUAAUGAUUUUUAGGCCCUUCGAAAAGCCAUUGCGGGAUAAGGCGAUGGCAGUUGCUGGAAGAGUUGCUAUAAUGGAAUAGCUUUGAAAACUUCUUGUCCAGUGCGUUUUCAAGUUCUUAGCACACCUCUUGAUUCUGAUCUGAAAAUGACACUGGCUGUACACCUGAGCUUGUGGCACUCAGAUGAUGUUCAAUUGCAUUGGGAAACGAUGCAAAACAAAGGAGGAUCAAUUGUUAAUAUGCCUUCCUUCUGCUUUGGAGCUGGGAUGGCUGCUGGAAUUGGUGCUCUGAUGGUUAGUAUUGCCAGGAGUCAUGCUCAAGCAUUUGGCAAUAAGAGUUUGGACAAGAGUGCACCACUAUUAGACAUGAUAGUAUAAGGACAAAAUCUGGAGAAGUUCUCAGUCUUCUAUCGAUUUGUAAAGUUUCAUGGUCGGGGGCAAUCCAGUGGUGUUGAGUCAUCUUCAACAGAUGCUGCUACCGUAGCCAUUUUUCUGCAAAGAUAUGUAACUGCACUCCCAAUGCCUCAAAAUCUUCCUGAUAGGGUACAAUGUCUUUCACUAUGAUCAUUGAUUCAGUUAAUAUUUUUUCUGCAUUCUCGUCAUCAAUCCACUAGCUCCACAUCCCUUGGAGUUUUGAUGCUAAUUAUGUACUGGCACUAGCAGCAGCAAAAAUAGAGCCACAUAAAGAGACAAUUGCAAAAAGAACCGUCUCUAAAUUGCUACCUGGAAUUCAAUACAGGCAGUCCAUAUUGCAUGUAGGCCAAUUAUGCCAAUUGUCAAGAAAUGUUGUUCGUUCCAUGUGUCUCUCUCCAUAGUUAGAGAUAGAGAGAUGCCCAUAUGUAGUUAGUUCAGUGUAGUGAAUGUAACGGAAAUUGUUUAAGGUCAGGCUGUAGUGUACUUGAAUUUCACAUCUUCUAGGUAAAUAUAUUAUGCCUAGGCUUAUCUUAGUAGGUAAAUAUGAAUGUCAGCUUUGCGAAAAUGUUUGUGAUGCCUGUUUGUACCUUUUUGAUACUUGGAAUCCCCCUCUCCUGCGGACCCUGCAAAGAAAGGAUUUCUUUAUACCAGUAGAAUCCCGUAAUAGCCGUUAGCAACGUCAAUGCCUGGGUUUUCUCUGGUCACUCCUGCUUCAGGCUAGGAAUGAUCACACAUCAAGCCAGGCUUUGGAAUUUACAUGGUAUGAAUGGGAAGAGAUUUUUGACACGUUUGACUUGACAUUAUGUUGCACGUGGUUGCUUACAGAACGCCAAGGCGUAUAAAAUGACUUUGAGAUAUCGAGCAUUUUAGGUCAAUCUCUAUCUCCAUUUUACUUAAAUUAACACUCCUGGAGAGUAUUUUGCUCAUAUCAAUCUUUAUCUCCAUUUUACGUAACGUGAACUGUUCAUAACGUUAUUCAAUGUUUGAUUUACCAGAAAUCAGGUUGCUGCAUGACAACAUUUUUUUAGAUGUGUGUUGGUGCCUUGGUAAUGUAACGAUUCUUGCCCAAAUAGCAGGUUUUGGAAUAACUACUUGGCACAGGUCCAUUUUUAAAUGGCUGGGUUGAAAUGGGUGGGUCACUUCAACAAGUUGGACAGGCCAUGUUUGUAUGGUUUAAAAUUUUGUUUUAAACAGUUAAUAAGGAAGCUCGUUUAGAAUUUUACUUUAAGUUGGUUAAUUGCAGAGAAUGUGUUUAAAUAAUUGGCUUAAAUCUAGCAUUAAAUUGCACAAUGUUUUGCAGGAAGAGUUUGAAAAAUUAGUUCAUGCGCAACUAAUGCAAUGUUAGUUGUGCAAUGUAUAGUUUAUCGCAGGAGAAAUAGAAUUAUUGCUUGUGGUCAAUGGUACCAAAUGAAAUUAAGUCAGAAUUUAUGAAUUAUUUUAUGUUUGAUCACAAUCCCUCGAGGCAUUUAAUCCAUGAGUGUGAUUAUUGAGGUGCUACGUGACUGUCGGGAAGAAUUUCUCGGAAUCAUUAUCACGUUCUCUUUGUCGUAAUUUUAAAUUGUUGAGGGGGUACUUGGGUAUUUUCCCUUUUAUCUUUGAUGUGUUACUGACUAGGACACUUGUCAAUUCACAUGGUUCUGAUUUUGCUGGCACAAUGGUGCAGUUUGGACAAGAGUGCACCACUAUUAGACAUGAUAGUGGAAGGACAAGAUCUGGAGAAGUUCUCAGUCUUCCAUCGAUUUGCAAAGUUUCAUGGCCGGGGGCAAUCCAUUGGUGUUGAGUCCAUCUUCAACAGAUGCUGCUGCACUAGCCAUAAACCUUUUCUGCAAAGAUACGGAACUGCGCUCCCAAUGCCUCAAAGUCCUUCUGAUAGGUUCAGUCCUAGAAGAUGAGGAGGCAGCUGAUGAAGUCGUGGCAGCGGCUCUGUAGGCUUAUAAUGAUAUCUAGGCCCUUUGGAAAUCCACUGCGAGAUAAGGCGAUAGCAGUUGCUGGAAGAGUCGCUAUAAUGGAAGAAGGAACAACUUUGAAAGCUUCUUGUCCAGUGUGCUUACAAGUUCUAAGCACACCACUUAAUUCUGAUCUAAAAAUGACACUGGCUGUACACAUGAGCUUAUGUCACGCAGAUGAUGUUCAAUUGCAUUGGGAACUGAUGCAAAACAAAGGAAGAUCAAUCGUUCACAUGCCUUCUUUCUGCUUUGGAGCUGGGAUGGCUGCUGGAAUUGGUGC